rnacentral:rRNA from 1 species
AAUAGAUACCCUGGUAGUCCACGCCCUAAACGAUGUCAACUGGUUGUCGGGGAAGCAAUUCCUUGGUAACGAAGCUAACGCGUGAAGUUGACCGCCUGGGGAGUACGGCCGCAAGGUUAAAACUCAAAGGAAUUGACGGGGACCCGCACAAGCGGUGGAUUAUGUGGAUUAAUUCGAUGCAACGCGAAAAACCUUACCUACCCUUGACAUGUACGGAACCUCGCAGAGAUGUGAGGGUGCCCGAAAGGGAGCCGUAACACAGGUGCUGCAUGGCUGUCGUCAGCUCGUGUCGUGAGAUGUUGGGUUAAGUCCCGCAACGAGCGCAACCCUUGUCAUUAGUUGCUACAUUCAGUUGGGCACUCUAAUGAGACUGCCGGUGACAAACCGGAGGAAGGUGGGGAUGACGUCAAGUCCUCAUGGCCCUUAUGGGUAGGGCUUCACACGUAAUACAAUGGCCGGUACAGAGGGCUGCCAACCCGCGAGGGGAGCUAAUCCCAGAAAGCCGGUCGUAGUCCGGAUUGUUCUCUGCAACUCGAGAGCA